rnacentral:pre_miRNA from 1 species
AGAGGGAUAGCUGGGUCAAAUGGUGGUUCCAUUCCCAGAUUUCCAAGGAAUCUCCAUACUGCUUUUCAUAUUGGCUGCACCAAUUUGCAGUCCCACCAGCAAU